CGAGGGGUAACAGGAAAGCUUGCUUUCGCUGACGACCGGCGCACGGGUGCGUAACGCGUAUGCAACCUACCUCAUACUGGAGAAUAGCCCCUGGAAACGGGGAUUAAUACUCCAUAGUAUCAUUCUUUCGCAUGUUAGAAUGAUUAAAGAAUUUCGGUAUGAGAUGGGCAUGCGUCCCAUUAGCUAGUUGGUGAGGUAACGGCUCACCAAGGCUACGAUGGGUAGGGGGCCUGAGAGGGUGGUCCCCCACACUGGUACUGAGACACGGACCAGACUCCUACGGGAGGCAGCAGUGAGGAAUAUUGGUCAAUGGAGGCAACUCUGAACCAGCCAUGCCGCGUGAAGGAUGACGGCCCUAUGGGUUGUAAACUUCUUUUGAAUAGGAAGAAACUUAUCUACGUGUAGAUAACUGACGGUACUAUUAGAAUAAGGAUCGGCUAACUCCGUGCCAGCAGCCGCGGUAAUACGGAGGAUCCAAGCGUUAUCCGGAUUCAUUGGGUUUAAAGGGUCCGUAGGCGGGUCUUUAAGUCAGUGGUGAAAGCCGACAGCUUAACUGUCGAACUGCCAUUGAUACUGGAGAUCUUGAGUACAAAUGAAGUAGGCGGAAUGAGUCAUGUAGCGGUGAAAUGCAUAGAUAUGACUCAGAACACCGAUUGCGAAGGCAGCUUACUAAC
rnacentral:rRNA from 1 species